rnacentral:tRNA from 1 species
CGCGGGAUGGAGCAGUCUGGUAGCUCGUCGGGCUCAUAACCCGAAGGUCGUUGGUUCCAAUCCGGCUCCCGCAACCA